GAUGAAGAACGUAGCGAAAUGCGAUAAGUAAUGUGAAUUGCAGAAUUCAGUGAAUCGUCGAAUCUUUGAACGCACAUUGCGCCCGCCAGUAUUCUGGCGGGCAUGCCUGUUCGAGCGUCAUUUCAACCCUCAGGUCCCCCUUUUCGGAGGGGGAGACACCCUGGUGUUGGGGGACGGCAUCCUGGCCCGCUGUCUCACAGUGUGCCACGCCGCCCCCGAAAUGAAUUGGCGGCCUCGUCGCGUGCCACCCCUGCGUAGUAGCACAACCUCGAAACGGGAGCCCGACGCGGCCACUGCCGUAAAACGCCCAACUUUUACCGAGUUGACCUCGAAUCAGGUAGGAAUACCCGCUGAACUUAAGCAUAUCAAUAAGCGGAGGA
rnacentral:misc_RNA from 1 species